UACGUAGGGAGCAAGCGUUGUCCGGAUUCACUGGGUGUAAAGGGUGCGUAGGCGGGAGAAUAAGUCAGCGGUGAAAUCUUACGGCUCAACCGUGAAACUGCCGUUGAUACUGUUUUUCUUGAGUUCGGGAGAGGUUGAUGGAAUUCCAGGUGUAGCGGUGAAAUGCGUAGAUAUCUGGAAGAACACCAGUGGCGAAGGCGGUCAACUGGCCCGAAACUGACGCUGAGGCACGAAAGCGUGGGUAGCGAAC
rnacentral:rRNA from 1 species